GAUGAACGCUAGCUACAGGCUUAACACAUGCAAGUCGAGGGGAAACGGCAUUGAGUGCUUGCACUCUUUGGGCGUCGACCGGCGCACGGGUGAGUAACGCGUAUCCAACCUUCCCAUUACUGUGGGAUAACCUGCCGAAAGGCAGACUAAUACCGCAUAGUCUUCGAUGACGGCAUCAGAUUUGAAGUAAAGAUUUAUCGGUAAUGGAUGGGGAUGCGUCUGAUUAGCUUGUUGGCGGGGUAACGGCCCACCAAGGCUACGAUCAGUAGGGGUUCUGAGAGGAAGGUCCCCCACAUUGGAACUGAGACACGGUCCAAACUCCUACGGGAGGCAGCAGUGAGGAAUAUUGGUCAAUGGACGGAAGUCUGAACCAGCCAAGUAGCGUGCAGGAUGACGGCCCUAUGGGUUGUAAACUGCUUUUGUAUGGGGAUAAAGUUAGGGACGUGUCCCUAUUUGCAGGUACCAUACGAAUAAGGACCGGCUAAUUCCGUG
rnacentral:rRNA from 1 species